CCAGGAUCCGCCAGGACUGGGAAGGGAGGCAGGAGGCUUCUCUGGGUAUAAAGCAGCUGAAAUGUGGAGUUUCCUCCCAGGAGCCGAGACCGUGUCCAUGGGCCCAGCGCCUGACGUGUCCUCCCUGGGAGCUUGCUGGACGCAUGACCAGGAUUCUGGGAGGGCAGAGGACAGACCACAGGCACCCAGGAUAACUCAGUACACAUGGGUUCUCAGCUUCCUGCUCACAGAGAAACCUCAGACAAGAAGCACGUCGCCCAUUUUUUCAUCAAGGCCAACCCCAGACCACGAGAACGCUUUCUCUGCGUCAGCCCCAGCACCCCAGCGCCCCUGCCUCCAGGCGCCCACGGCCUCCGCACUCCAGUGGCCCAGACCUGGCUGAGGCAGCUCCCGUGGUAGAUCAAGCCUCACAGGCGGCUGGAAGAGCCAGUUCUGGGCUAGGCCUGUGGGAACAGGCGUCUUGUUAGUCAGGGUUUCAGGAAUGCGGCCUUCGGAGCCUGAAGCGGGGAAUGGCGGCUCUGGGCCCUCAAGGGGCAGGCGGUGAGCCUGGGAGGCCAGGCUGGGCUGACCCAAGGGGAGAGGACCCUCUCCGCCCACUGCCGCUGGCCCUGGGCAGGUCUAGAGCCUGGGGGUCUCCAGAGGCACAAUCCCUUAUCUCCGGGAGAAGGCAGAGGGCAGAGGCAGGAAACAAAUCUCCUGUCAAAAUUCCUAAUUAAAAUACUAAGUAAGUGAUGGCUCCAGGCUCGGACACCGGACACUGAGAGAAUAAGGGAAAAUCAGCCCCGACAGCCAGAGCUAACAAGACGGUUAAUUACAGCCCAAGAAGAACGUUAACAGUAUUAAUUCUAACCACAAAGGAGGAAAAGAGAAGACCGCCUAAGAAGGAGAAGGAGGGUCCCUUUCCCAGAUGAGGCUGCCCUAACCACUGGGGCCUCGGCCCCUCCCAGGCCUGAGGGAGCCCAGCUCUGCCUGGCCCCACCCAUCUCACACCAGCCCUGCCUGACCCGCCCACCUCACCCCAACCCUGGCUGGCCCCGCCCACCCUUGCCUCAGCCCUGCCCGGCCCCUCCCACCCUUGCCCAGCCCCUGCGUGGCCCCUCCCACUCGUCCCAACCCUUCCUGUCACCGCCAACCCUUGCCCCUGUCCUGCCUGGCCCCUCCCACCCUUGCCCCAGUCCUGCCUGGCCCCUCCCACCCUUGCCCCAGUCCUGCCUGGCCCCUCCCACCCUUGCCCCAGUCCUGCCUGGCCCCUCUCACCCUUGCCCCAGUCCUGCCUGGCCCCUCCCACCCUUGCCCCAGUCCUGCCUGGCCCCUCCCACCCUUGCCCCAGCCCUGCCUGGCCCCUCCCACCCUUCCACCCUUGCUCCUGUCCUGCCUGGCCUCUCCCACCCUUGCCACAGUCCUGCCUGGCCCCUCCCACCCUUGCCCCAGUCCGGCCUGGCCCCUCCCACCCUUGCCCCAGUCCUGCCUGGCCCCUCCCACCCUUGCCCCAGUCCUGCCUGGCCCCUCCCACCCUUGCCCCAGUCCUGCCUGGCCCCUCCCACCCUUGCCCCAGUCCUGCCUGGCCCCUCCCACCCUUGCCCCAGCCCCUGCCUGGUCCUGCCCACCUCACCCCAGCACUUCCUAUGGGACUCACGCCUUUGUCUCGGGCUUUUGGUUUUCAAAAUAAAUUAUAAGUUUUAAUAAAAUAAAGUACUAGAAAA
rnacentral:lncRNA from 1 species